rnacentral:rRNA from 1 species
UACGGAGGAUGCAAGCGUUAUCCGGAAUAAUUGGGCGUAAAGCGUUCGUAGGUGGUGAUGUAAGUCUGCUGUUAAAGCGUGUAGCUUAACUACAUAUAGGCGGUGGAAACUACAUGACUAGAGUGCGGUCGGGGCAGAGGGAAUUCCUGGUGUAGCGGUGAAAUGCGUAGAUAUCAGGAAGAACACCGGUGGCGAAGGCGCUCUGCUAGGCCGUAACUGACACUGAGGGACGACAGCUAGGGGAGCGAAUGGG